rnacentral:rRNA from 1 species
AUUGAACGCUGGCGGCAGGCCUAACACAUGCAAGUCGAACGAGUGGCGGACGGGUGAGUCAUGUAUGGGCAUCUGGCUUAUGGAGGGGGAUAACGACGGGAAACUGUAGCUAAUACCGCUUAACAUAGGAUGAACCCUAGUGGGAUUAGGUAGGUGGUGGGGUAAAGGCCUACCAAGCGACGAUCUCUAGCUGGUCCGAGAGGAUGAACAGCCACACCGGGACGGAGACACGGCCCGGACUCCUACGGGAGGCAGCAGUGGGGAAUAUUGCGCAAUGGGCGCAACCCUGACGCAGCCAUGCCGCGUGAAUGAAGAAGGCCUUCGGGUUGUAAAGUUCUGUCGGCGACGAGGCGUUAACCACAGAAGAAGCACCGGCUAACUCCGUGCCAGCAGCCGCGGUAAUUC